AAAGCGUGCGCAGGCGGUUAUGUAAGACAGAUGUGAAAUCCCCGGGCUCAACCUGGGAACUGCAUUAGUGACUGCAUAGCUGGAGUACGGCAGAGGGGGAUGGAAUUCCGCGUGUAGCAGUGAAAUGCGUAGAUAUGCGGAGGAACACCGAUGGCGAAGGCAAUCCCCUGGGCCUGUACUGACGCUCAUGCACGAAAGCGUGGGGAGCAAACAAGAUUAGAUACCCCUGU
rnacentral:rRNA from 1 species